rnacentral:rRNA from 1 species
AUUGAACGCUGGCGGCAUGCUUUACACAUGCAAGUCGAGCGGCAGCGCGGGGGCAACCCUGGCGGCGAGCGGCGAACGGGUGAGGAAUACAUCGGAACGUGCCCCGGAGUGGGGGGUAACGCCGCGAAAGCGGCGCUAAUACCGCAUAUGCUCUGAGGAGGAAAGCGGGGGACCUGCAAGGGCCUCGCGCUCUGGGAGCGGCCGAUGUCCGAUUAGCUAGUUGGUGGGGUAAAGGCCUACCAAGGCGACGAUCGGUAGCUGGUCUGAGAGGAUGAUCAGCCACGCGGGGACUGAGACACGGCCCAGACUCCGACGGGAGGCAGCAGUGGGGAAUUUUGGACAAUGGGGGCAACCCUGAUCCAGCCAUGCCGCGUGCGGGAAGAAGGCCUUCGGGUUGUAAACCGCUUUUAGCCGGGAAGAAAAGGCGUCCACUAACACUGGGCGUUCUUGACGGUACCGGCGGAAUAAGCACCGGCUAACUACGUGCCAGCCGCCGCCGUAAGAC